rnacentral:tRNA from 1 species
UGAAAAUGAAUAGUCAUAAAUGGUUUCGGCCCAUUCAUUAGCGAAAAUGGUCGCUUUA